AGAUUGAACGCUGGCGGCAUGCCUAACACAUGCAAGUCGAACGGGAGUAGCAAUACUCUAGUGGCGGACGGGUGAGGAAUACGUAGGAAUUUGCCCUUAAGUGGGGGAUAACCCGGGGAAACCCGGAUUAAUACCGCAUGACCUCGAAAGAGCAAAGUGGGGGAUCGCAAGACCUCACGCUUUUGGAGAAGCCUACGUCGGAUUAGCUAGUUGGUGAGGUAAUGGCUCACCAAGGCGACGAUCCGUAACUGGUCUGAGAGGAUGAUCAGUCACACCGGAACUGAGACACGGUCCGGACUCCUACGGGAGCAGCAGUGGGGAAUAUUGGACAAUGGGCGCAAGCCUGAUCCAGCAAUGCCGCGUGUGUGAAGAAGGCCUUGGGUUGUAAAG
rnacentral:rRNA from 1 species